rnacentral:rRNA from 1 species
CCCAAACAUAGCCCUAGUUAAUAUCUAAGGUGUAACCUGCCCAAUGGUUUUUAAUUAAUAUAAUUAAAAUUUAUAUAAUAAAACUUAAAGGACGCGGUAACCUUGACCGUGAUAAUGUAGCAUAAUCAUUCGCCAUUUAAUUGAUGGAUAGUAUGAAUGGUUGAACGAAUAUUUCACUGUCUUAAAAAGAAAUACCAAAAAAUUAGAAUAAUAGUAAAGAUACUAUUUAAAAUUGUAAGACGAAAAGACCCUAUAGAGCUUAACUAUAAUCUCUACUUUAUAAUUUAAAACAUUUAUUAACAGUAGAGAUUGGUAGUUUAGUUGGGGCGACUGUCUUUUAAAAUAAACAAAGACAAGCAAAGUAAAUAAAAAUAAACUUAUUGUACAAUUAAUAAAUUUAACAAUUAUGAAAAUAGGCUAUAGUGACCCGUUACUUAUAAGUAAUAAUAAUAACGAUCAAUAAAUAAAAGCUACCUUAGGGAUAACAGGAUAAUUUUAUUUUAGAGACCUAAUCGAAAAUAAAGUUUGUCACCUCUAUGUUGAAUUAAGAUAUCCUGAUAAUGCAGAAGUUAUCAAAGGUAGGUCUGUUCGACCUUUAAAUCUUACAUGA